AGGAGGAACAACCACAGUGGCAGCGGCCAGCUCUAGAGCCCUGGAUUCAGCUCCCUCAGUAACUAACUAUGGCUCUCCAUCUGCAGGGGCCUGGAUGCUCCGGGGGCGG
rnacentral:pre_miRNA from 1 species